GAAAAGGAAAACAGAGAAUACCCAAUCCCUAAAAAUUAAAACCUACUAAUGCACCAACAAAACUUUCGGCGAGAAAUCUGAUUACCCAACUACAGGUUCGGCCUCUUUGUCUUCUUCUUAUGGCUAUUGCAGCGUUGUUGGUUGCUCACUUGAAGUCUAAUAUCAGUCUGCUGCUGGAAACUACACGAAACACUUCCUCUUAAACUCCUUCCCCUAACACUGUCCCUUAACAAGGUAUUCAUAUUACUGUGCACCCACGGCCUCGCCUAUUUCAUACUUGUUUAUGUUUUUCGAUAUUGCUGACUGAUGGAAUGAAUGAGGUUUUGUUUUUUGUCACUUUAGGUCACUGAAUCAAAUAUUAGAUUCCCAUAUUUGUUUUUGUUUAGAUGAGUACAUAGAUAAAAGGAAAAAUUGCAUUAUUCAGAUCUUUGACUGAUGAAAAUGUCUCAUUAUGCCUUGUAAACUCUCGUUUCAACUAGUGUUAUCAAAGUUGGACUUGAUCUGCCAUUUCAACUUGAAAACUUAAAAUCGGUCCGGUUAUCAGCAAAAAAACUGAAAAAUAAAUCCCAUGAAAGUACUUAAGAACCGGACAUGCUCAAAAUCAGCCAGAUUCACUCCAAAAUGAGUUAGAUUUAUUAUACUAAAAGCCAAAC
rnacentral:lncRNA from 1 species